rnacentral:rRNA from 1 species
AGAGUUUGAUCCUGGCUCAGGAUGAACGCUGGCGGCAUGCCUAAGACAUGCAAGUCGAACGAGGGGACCCAACAAUUAUGAAGUACUUGUACGGAUUAUGCGAUGGAUUCACACCUAGUGGCGAACGGGUGAGUAACGGGUAGGCAACCUGCCCUCAAGACGGGGAUACCAGUUGGAAACGACUGUUAAUACCGGAUAGUAUACAAUAUCGCAUGGUAAUGUAUUUAAAGGAGCUUCGGCUUCACUUGAGGAUGGGCCUGCUUUGUAUUAGAUAGUUGGUGAGGUAAUGGCUCACCAAGUCAACGAUGCAUAGCCGAACUGAGAGGUUGAACGGCCACACUGGAACUGAGACACGGUCCAGACUCCUACGGGAGGCAGCAGUUAGGGAUAUUGGGCAAUGGAGGAAACUCUGACCCAGCAAUGCCGCGUGAGUGAAGAAGUAUUUCGGUAUGUAAAACUCUGUUGUAUGGGAGGAAAGAACUAGUAGGAAAUGGCUAGGAG